GAUUAACGCUAGCGGCAGGCCUAAUACAUGCAAGUCGUACGGUAACAGGUCCAGCAAUGGAUGCUGACGAGUGGCGCACGGGUGCGUAACACGUAUGCAACCUACCUUUGACUGGGGGAUAGCCCCGAGAAAUCGGGAUUAAUACCCCAUACAAUUGCGAUGAGACAUCUCAAUGCAAUGAAAGCUCCGGCGGUCUUAGAUGGGCAUGCGCGACAUUAGCUAGUUGGUGAGGUAACGGCUCACCAAGGCUUCGAUGUCUAGGGGUUCUGAGAGGAUUCACCCCCACACUGGUACUGAGACACGGACCAGACUCCUACGGGAGGCUG
rnacentral:rRNA from 1 species